rnacentral:miRNA from 15 species
ACGAGCCUCUUCAUCUCUUUCCACAGCUUUCUUGAACUGUUGGAGUUGCAGAGGGUGGUGUUUGGAUGGCCAACUCCAGCAUAAGACAACAGUUCAGGAAAGCUGUGGGAAUAUAUGCAGAGGCUGGA